rnacentral:lncRNA from 1 species
GAGGUAUAGAUUUUUGAAUGAACAGGUGUUCCACCUUUGUAUUCUACUCUGGUGGUCUUCCAGUUCAUUCUUCUCUUUUUUCUCAUAUGUUCAUGAGUAGUUUGUUGUAUCAUGUAUUAUACCUAUGAAUGUGGGCUGUAUAUGAGGGCUGCUUGUGGAAUUGUGUGUGUGGGUACAUAUGCCACAUGGUGUGUUUGGUAGUGUGUUUGUGUGGGGCUGCUUGUGGAAUUGCAUGUGAGAGACUGCAUGUGGGUUUGUGUGCCUGUAUGUGGAUUGUGUGUAUGUUUGUGUGUAAGCUGUUCAUAUUAUUUGUAUGAGGAGAGGGUUAUUUUACAUUUCUGUGUAUGUCUAGCAGUGUGGGUGGCUUCCCUGGGUUCCAGUGGGGACCAGGCUGGCCAGGUACAUGUCAAGGACAGGAGCUGCAAUAGCAGCUGCGGGCUGUUCUACUCCAGUGUGGAUUCCCAUUCACAAGUGAUGGAAUGAUGUGAUCUGAGAUUACGUCAGCGGUGGGAAACGUCUGACCCACAAAAUCAUUUGGACCGGCCUGUGGAGAGCCAGCCCUGCUGUCUGCUUUUUUCAGGCCGGUGGGGAGAUCAAAGAUCUUCCUCACCGGUCUCCGGGCAGUUUUUAAAGCGAGAGGCAGGGAGUUUGGACCUGGGAGCCUGCUGGACAGGAAGAGGAUCCGACAGCGCUGUUUUCGCAGGAAGAAAAUAGUGAAGUCAGCCUGCAACCAGAGGAGCUGCAGGCUAAGGUGCACACAAAACUACUGGACCACUAGGGCUUGCAGUGACCAGAGGAAGGAAGGGUGGGAUGUAGUUAAACAUUGCUGAAAUAAUAAUAGUUAUAUUUUCUGAAAUGAUGCAAUUUAUUUUUCUAUUUCCUAUUUGUAUGGCGAUAACAGUGUCUGAAUUGACACAAACAUAAAAAGCCCAGUGAAGGCAAAUACAAUUAUUAAAUAUAGGUUCCAUACAAUUUCGGGGUUUCUGACAUAACGAUUUACUGUACAAAGAUUACUAAGAAAAUAGUUAAGAUCCAUGGCAUAAAAUGAUGGUGUGCACAAAGAAAACAAGCUUUAAACAUAUGUUUUUUUUAACAGAAAAUAGAUGUUUAAAUGCGUGACUCUCACAGGAGACAUGCAUAGUUUUCUUUUCCUCUUUUUAAGGAAAAGAAAUGGAUUUUCUCCCUGAUCCCCCAACACAAUAUAGACCCCUGACACUACACCACCACACACAUAGAACCCCUAAUACACACACUGCACCCCACCCCCCCCACACACAGAACCCAUAACACAAACACUGUACCCCCUCACACACACACACACACACACAAGCACACCGCAAGUAGAAACAUCAUCAAUACGAGCUAACAUCACACCAAAGAGAAGCAGUUCCAGCCAUGUCAUUAGAAGUGAGUUAAUAAAAUUUUUGACCAAAUACAGCAGGUUAAUUUUUAAGUUGAUAAUUUUGUAUGGCCCGCGAAUGAGGUUUUAAAAUAAACAAAUGGCCCUUGGCAGAUAAAAGGUUCCGAAUCCCUGCUCUAUGUGCUGUAAUGCAUAUAUUGAGGAUUGCCCUUCACCACCUUUUUGUAUUAGCAGAUAUCUGAAGUUUCCUUGGGACUCCUGAUAGGCCAGAGCCUGUUUGGCUCUAGCAGCCUUGAGUGCCGUAGGUUGCCUACCCCUGCUCUAGACAAUAGUGCUAUUUACUCUUGUAACCUCAACUAUUACAAAAACAAAAGUGCUGCAUAUCUUGUCAUUUACAAUACCUGCUAUGUCAUUCAUCAAUGUUGCCGUAUGUUAUUUACUCUGCACUUUGAAAAAUAAAGAAUUAAAAAAAAUUAAGAGGGGGAGCCUGACUGCAUAACCAAGCGGACGCGGGUUGCAGUUGUUUCUGCAAGCUAUUGCAAAUUCUAUUGAACCAACCCGAACCAGAGCUGAUACCGGGCCCAAGCAGGUUGCCAGAUGACAGAGGACCUUGUGACAUUUCUGCAGAUACCACACAAGUGGAUGUCCC